rnacentral:rRNA from 1 species
CCUACGGUAGGCAACAGUAGGGAAUAUUGCUCAAUGGGGGAAACCCUGAGGCAGCAACGCCGCGUGGAGGAUGAAGGUUUUCGGAUUGUAAACUCCUUUUGUUAGAGAAGAUAAUGAGGGUACCUAACGAAUAAGAACCGGCUAACUCCGUGCCAGCAGCCGCGGUAAUACGGAGGGUGCAAGCGUUACUCGGAAUCACUGGGGGUAAAGGGCGCGUAGGCGGGAUAGCAAGUCAGAUGUGAAAUCCUAUGGCUUAACCAUAGAACUGCAUUUGAAACUGUUAUUCUAGAGUAUGGGAGAGGUAGGUGGAAUUCUUGGUGUAGGGGUAAAAUCCGUAGAGAUCAAGAGGAAUACUCAUUGCGAAGGCGACCUGCUAGAACAUAACUGACGCUGAUGCGCGAAAGCGUGGGGAGCAAACAGGAUUAGAUACCCGUGUAGUC